GACGAACGCUGGCGGCGUGCUUAACACAUGCAAGUCGAACGGAAAGGCCCUGCUUUUGUGGGGUGCUCGAGUGGCGAACGGGUGAGUAACACGUGAGUAACCUGCCCUUGACUUUGGGAUAACUUCAGGAAACUGGGGCUAAUACCGGAUAGGAGCUCCUGCUGCAUGGUGGGGGUUUGAAAGUUUCGGCGGUUGGGGAUGGACUCGCGGCUUAUCAGCUUGUUGGUGGGGUAGUGGCUUACCAAGGCUUUGACGGGUAGCCGGCCUGAGAGGGUGACCGGCCACAUUGGGACUGAGAUACGGCCCAGACUCCUACGGGAGGCAGCAGUGGGGAAUAGUGCACAAUGGGCGGAAGCCUGAUGCAGCAACGCCGCGUGCGGGAUGACGGCCUUCGGGUUGUAAACCGCUUUCGCCUGUGACGAAGCGUGAGUGACGGUAAUGGGUAAAGAAGCACCGGCUAACUACGUG
rnacentral:rRNA from 1 species